UAGACCCACCCAUCCAUCUCCUCACCAGUGUGCUCUCCACUGCUGUCUUUCUUCAUCAUCCUUAAGCUCGUUAUAGUCCUGGAUUUUAGUGGGUGCUAAAGCCAAGGACUAGAUUUGAAGCCUCUUUUCUGCCCACCUGCUGCUCUUUCUUCCUCCCUCCUAGCUGCAGACAUCAAACUGUUGCUGGCCAGGGCAGUUGCAGGCUGGCCCAGGGCAGACCCAACUGAGGGCAAUGGUCCUUAGAGCUAUGCCCACCCUGACGUGGAUGCCUGGUGAGAGGCUUGUGAACAGAGAAGACUAACUGUGGAGAUGCUGACCCAUUUAGCUUUUACCUGUCCCAGGAUGGCUGGAGAUCUCUGGGAGAGAGAAAGAGGUAAUGAGGACUCGGUUUUGACCAAGGCAAGACAAUCGACAGUUCCUGAAAGUUGCAGUCCUGCUGGAUGCGGAAGAGGGGAAAUUUCAGGACAGUUCCUGAAUAUUCAGGCCUUCAAAGCCCCAUUCAAGGCCAGCACAGUGCCUCCAGAAUAAAGGGGGAGAUAAUUCACAGGUUACAAUCUGCUGCAGAUGAGAACACCUGUUCUCAGCUCAGAUCCUCUCAUGGUCACCCCUGCCCAGGGCAGUUCCCCUGCUGGUCUUCCACAUGGGGAAGUGUAGAGGGGAAAUUUUUCCGUAAUAA